rnacentral:rRNA from 1 species
AUGGCCGCGGCGACGGGCCACCCGCGACCUGCGCGUGGCCGGCCCCACCAUCGCCAUCUUCAUCGACGCGCAAGAGGAUCUGGCCCUCCAGUGACGGCGCGGCGCCGUCGACUGGAUCUGCGGGCGGCGGCGACCCCCGAUUCCCCAGCCCCCACGGCAACCAGCUGGCCAUUCCCGCUUCCCGGGCCAUCGCGUUGGCAGUUUGGCACCUCACCAUCGUGCCUCAGCCCUCAGGCGGGAGUCGUCCCAGCAGCACGGACGUUGGUCCAACCCUCGGAUGCACCUUUGGGUUCACAAGUUAGAAUCCGCCGAGAUUCCACCCCAAGUCCAAGAUUCCACCGCCGGGAACGCGCUGAGGUGCGGUACCGAGCAUUUCCAACUGGGCUUAUUAUUGGUGCAUCGAUAGCCUCCCUUGCCGUGGUUCUCUUUUCUCUUUGGUUGUUCGCUGUUGUGAGGAGACGACGACGGGAAUCAAGAAUAUCAGUAGACAAUGCCCAGGGAGGUGCAAAUGGUGCUGGUGCUGAUAUUCGCUCCAAUCCUGCUUCGACUGUCCAGUCCGUCUGUGCAGUUGGUCUUCCUACUAUAACGGAGGCUACAGGAAAUUUCUCUGAAGAAAAUAUCAUCGGUGAGGGCGAAUAUAGUGUCGUCUAUAAGGGGCAGCUACACGAUGAUACAAUAGUUGCUGUGAAGAGGCUGAAACACUAUCGUCUUACUAAUAAAGGCAGGGAACAUUUCUCAAGGGAAGUGGAAAUGAUGUCAAAGCUCAUGCAUGCCAAUCUUGCUAAGCUCCUCUGGUAUUGCCAGGAAGGAGACGAGUGGAUAUUAGUCUAUGAGUGGAUGGAGCGCCAGAGUUUGAAUCUCUACAUUUUUGGGGAAGAAAACGGAUUCCGUUCCUCACUGAAUUGGUCGCAAAGACUGGGAGUAAUUCAUGGGAUUGCCGUAGGCGUUAAAUUUCUUCACGCAGAAGGAUUCAUUCACAGGGAUCUAAAACCUGGCAAUAUACUUGUCAGUGACACGUGGCAUCCCAAGAUAGCGGACUUUGCCACCACGAAGCUGUUUAUCGAUGAGCAGACAAAUCCGACACUAGUACUGACGCCGGGACAUGUCGCUCCGGAGUAUUCAUCGGAAGGGGCCCUGACGUACAAGUGUGAUGUAUAUAGUUUUGAAGUCCUGUUGUUGGAGAUAGUCAGUGGAAAAAGGAGAACAAGCAUUCAAACUUUCCUUCUUCAUGUAAGUCUGCUCAUGACAAAACAUACUCCUCCCUUAUGCAUCCUCUUAAUUUCUUCCCACUGA